CUCCUCUCAGGGUCACACCUGGAGAGUUUCCAAUACUCUACCAGCCUUGGCUAUGAGAGAAGGAGUCAAGCAGAGGCCUACUCAUUCCAUUCCUAGCUUGGGCAGUGACUAGAAAGUGGAAGGCAAUCUGCUACAAGU